rnacentral:misc_RNA from 1 species
CGUUGGUGAACCAGCGGAGGGAUCAUUACCGAGUACUAUAACUCAUAACCCUUUGUGAACCUUUAUACCUGUUGCUUCGGCGGCGCGCCUCUCGGGGCGUGCCCGCCGGCAUUAUCAGAAUCUCUGUUCGAACCCGACGAUACAUCUGAGUGUUCUAAGCGAACUGUUAAAACUUUCAACAACGGAUCUCUUGGCUCCAGCAUCGAUGAAGAACGCAGCGAAACGCGAUAUGUAAUGUGAAUUGCAGAAUUCAGUGAAUCAUCGAAUCUUUGAACGCACAUGGCGCCUUCCAGUAUCCUGGGAGGCAUGCCUGUCCGAGCGUCGUUUCAACCCUCGAGCCCCCGUGGCCCGGCGUUGGGGAUCUGCCCAGGCAGUCCCCGAAAACCAGUGGCGGACCCGUCGGGCCCUUCCUUUGCGUAGUAAUAUCUGCCUCGCAUCGGGAGCCCUCGGGCUAUCCGGCCUCUAAACCCCCCUCAAGCCCGCUCCGGCGGCACC